ensembl:lncRNA
UUAUUAACAAACUGUAUACUCUUUCCCUCUAGUUUGAGAUGUUUCUACUCAAUUGUUUAAUGCAACUAGUAGAUUUAAAGGUUUCUUUCCUCUGCCAUGUGGACUUAGUAAUUCCUCUGUUACAUGGUUGGGAAAGAGGAAAUGGGUCCCAAGGUUUCCACUGGUAUAACUACUUGUGUGCCUGUUAUUUGCAGGAUCCUGUCUUUGUAGAGACUACCCGUUAGAAGAUUCAUAAGCAAAUGCUUGGUUUUCUGAUCUCAUUAUUUAAAAAUCUUGAGGGAGAUCAUAUUGCUCAGGCAACCUAGUAGAACAGCCUAAAGGGGAAAUAUCAUUUGUUCUUUCUCACUCCCUCUCCCCUUCCCCACACAAAACAAGAUCUCUCAUCUGUCAUUUAAUGGUAUCUUUCUGGAUUCAGAGGAAGUCUAAUUUGUAUCUUCUGAUCAAAAGACAGACACAGCUGAAACUUUCUAUGAAGGUUCUGUUAGUUUAGAAAGGCAAAUUCAUUUUAGGGAAAGAUGAAGGAGUUUGUGUGUCUCAACUCUUAUUGUAGCCUCCUCCUGAUGCUGUAUUCUAUAUAUCCAGGUUUAGUUGUAAAGUUUCUUUCCCUAAUUUCAGUAGGUUUUUCUGCCAUCCUUUAUUUCCAGAGAUUGCUUCUAGGGAGAAGCAGAAAAGGUGGCAAAUAUAAAAUAUUGUUUCUUACGCACUCCAGAAUCAAAAUUUUUCAAAGGAAGCAAUCUCUUUCUUGAAGGGAUUUGGUCAUAGCCAGUUAUUAUUUCCAAAGCUAUCUUUGUUUAUGAAAUUCUUUUGGCACCAAUGGCUGCACUCUGGGUUGGUGGCCACGUUUGCUGUCCUGGGAAAGAGCAAUUGUCAUAAUUUCAAAAUCAUGACUUUAUUAUGGGAACAGAAAACAUUUUGUUCAGGACUGUCUUGCUUUACAUCUGCAGCCACAUUUUGGUUCUCUUCCAUAGGUCUCUUUUGCAAGUCAAGGGUCCAUUGGCUUCAGAUUGGGUUGUGGAGGGAAACAAAAAUAUUUCUUACAGCAGGGGUCCUCAGACUUUUUAAAUAGGAGGCCAGUUCACUGUCCCUCAGACUGUUGGAGGGCCGGACUAUAGUAAAAACAAAAACUUUGUUUUGUGGACCUUUAAAUAAAGAUACUUCAUAGCGCUGGGUGAGGGGGAUAAACGUCCUCAGCUGCUGCAUCUGGCCCACGGGCUGUAGUUUGAGGACCCCCGGACAGUUUAUAGCAAGAGUUGUAAGAACAAAUAUAUAUAUUCAAAAUUCAAAUGGAUUUCUAUUUGUUUCUGAUAUUUGAAAUUAUUUGUUCUAUUUCCUGCAUCCAUUCACCAGACUGUGCAUUUAGAGUCUGAGGAUAACAAGUGCCCUUUUGUAGACUGGAAUAUGAGGUGCUUCUUGUCUGAAAUGACUUGGGAGGCCUUUGGAAUUAGAGGCCUACAAUCUACCUAAUGUGUUUCGUGUUGUAGAACAGACUGAGGAAGUGUGGCUAUCUGUUGUGAAAACAAGACUGUCUUCCUCACCUCCCAUCCCAGACGAUGUGUAUUGUGAUUUAGUGUAAACCUCUUAGAAAGUUAAACAUGCUGCUUUGUGAAUAAAUGAUUUUAUUUCAUAAAGUUCUUCGGUUCACAUGUACAGAAUGGUUGAAAUAGCACUAGAUGAAAUGUUUCUAGUAGUAUACUUGUAUGACCGUUUCUGUACACUUUUUGUGAUGAAACAGCUUGCAAUCAAAGGGUUUAAAGUUGUUAUGGGAAAUCAACUUUAAUUACUUGUCGUUUAAUAGCUUGUAUUAGAUUGAUUAUUUUUCUUAAUAUUUAUUUUACUGUAUUUUGUCAUCCUCUAUAAGUGAAAAAUAUUCGUGAUUUGUUUACUCUUCAAUCCUUCAUUGGACAGUGUUGUGCAAUGCCUAUCUCUCAUAUUGUUGUGUAGCUCAUUUGCUCUCUUUGCUCUGUUUUUUCCAUAUGCAUGUAAUUGAACAUAUUUCUGCCAAGGAUGUGCCUUCAACUUUGUAAUUACAGUGUUGUCCCGAGAUAUUUUUCAGUGUCUCUUUUGUGAAAUGUUUCCACCAUCACCAGUAGCUGUGAGUACACGUAACAUUGGGAGGGCCCUAUUCCCUAAAAGCUAGGGUCACUCUAGGGUUGGGGUUACAUUUAUAGGUAUUAGUGAAAUAUUGCUCUUGACAGCUGUAAAGGCAGAUGUUGCUCUGUAAGAUGGUCUUUUGGAUUUCUUUGGUCUUCU